CAAUAGCGUAUAUUUAAGUUGUUGCAGUUAAAAAGCUCGUAGUUGGAUUUCGGGUGGGACGCAGCGGUCUCGCAUUGCGUUUGUACUGCUGCAGCCCUCCUUCUUGCCGGGGGCGGCCUCUCGGACUUCACUGUCUGGGGGUCAGAAUCGGCGAUGUUACUUUGAGUAAAUUAGAGUGUUCAAAGCAAGCUUACGCUCUGAAUAUAAUAGCAUGGGAUAACACGACAGGACUCUGGCCUAUCGUGUUGGUCUAUAGGACCAGAGUAAUGAUUAAGAGGGACAGUCGGGGGCAUUCGUAUUCCGUUGUCAGAGGUGAAAUUCUUGGAUUUACGGAAGACGAACAUCUGCGAGAGCAUUUGCCAAGGAUGUUUUCAUUGA
rnacentral:rRNA from 1 species